CAGCCACCAGUUCAGUAUCUGAGAUGUAUAAGAAGAUUAUCGGUAAAGAGAUUUCUGCUAAGAUCAUUCUUACUCAAGGGAACAAAAACGGUGAUAGUAACAUCUACGAGGCAGUGGAACUUUUCGAUAAAACAGUGAAUGAUUCUUCAUCUGGUGAUAAAUAACCGGAGACCAAUCCAAAUUCAUUCUCAAGCUCAGGGAUUGUCCAAGGAAUUGAAUUGUUCCGGACUCCUGGGUCGACUGGAUCUGUUUCAAACAAGAUAAAGACGGAAGAUGAUAUAGUGCAUAUCGGAUAGUUCGCUGUCAACUGUCGAAGGUCACCAGCGCAAUCCGGAUUUCUGUUCCUUUCCUGUCUUUGAAUAAGUUAGAUGAAGUACAAGCGUACUGUUAUUGUGUUGGUAUUCCAACUAUUUUCGUAAUGAUCUUUAAGUCUUAUUGAGCAACAUUUCAGUUUUCCAUCGAUGUAAUGCUUUAAUCCACCAUUUGUCGCACAUUGUUUUCAUUUCUUAUUGCGUG